rnacentral:rRNA from 1 species
CUUUGGAAUAGAAGGUUUUCGGAUCGUAAAACUCUGUUGUUAGGGAAGAACAAGUACCGUUCGAAUAGGGCGGUACCUUGACGGUACCUAACCAGAAAGCCACGGCUAACUACGUGCCAGCAGCCGCGGUAAUACGUAGGUGGCAAGCGUUGUCCGGAAUUAUUGGGCGUAAAGCGCGCGCAGGCGGUUUCUUAAGUCUGAUGUGAAAGCCCCCGGCUCAACCGGGGAGGGUCAUUGGAAACUGGGGAACUUGAGUGCAGAAGAGGAGAGUGGAAUUCCACGUGUAGCGGUGAAAUGCGUAGAGAUGUGGAGGAACACCAGUGGCGAAGGCGACUCUCUGGUCUGUAACUGACGCUGAGGCGCGAAAGCGUGGGGAGCGAACAGGAUUAGAUACCCUGGUAGUCCACGCCGUAAACGAUGAGUGCUAAGUGUUAGAGGGUUUCCGCCCUUUAGUGCUGCAGCAAACGCAUUAAGCACUCCGCCCUGGGGAGA